rnacentral:rRNA from 1 species
GGCGUGCUUAACACUUGCAAGUCGAACGGUGAAGCUCAGCUGCUGGGUGGAUCAGUGGCGAACGGGUGAGUAACACGUGAGCAUCUGCCCCUGACUCUGGGAUAGCGCUGGAAACGGCGUCUAAUACCGGAUACGAACCGUGGAGGCAUCUUCAACGGUGGAAAGAUUUUUUGGUCAGGGAUGAGCUCGCGGCCUAUCAGCUUGUUGGUGAGGUAAUGGCUCACCAAGGCGUCGACGGGUAGCCGGCCUGAGAGGGUGACCGGCCACACUGGGACUGAGACACGGCCCAGACUCCUACGGGAGGCAGCAGUGGGGAAUAUUGCACAAUGGGCGAAAGCCUGAUGCAGCAACGCCGCGUGAGGGAUGACGGCCUUCGGGUUGUAAACCUCUUUUAGCAGGGAAGAAGCGAAAGUGACGGUACCUGCAGAAAAAGCGCCGGCUAACUACGUGCCAGCAGCCGCGGUAAUACGUAGGGCGCAAGCGUUAUCCGGAAUUAUUGGGCGUAAAGAGCUCGUAGGCGGUUUGUCGCGUCUGCUGUGAAAUCCCGAGGCUCAACUUCGGGUCUGCAGUGGGUACGGGCAGACUAGAGUGCGGUAGGGGAGAUUGGAAUUCCUGGUGUAGCGGUGGAAUGCGCAGAUAUCAGGAGGAACACCGAUGGCGAAGGCAGAUCUCUGGGCCGUAACUGACGCUGAGGAGCGAAAGGGUGGGGAGCAAACAGGCUUAGAUACCCUGGUAGUCCACCCCGUAAACGUUGGGAACUAGUUGUGGGGUCCAUUCCACGGAUUCCGUGACGCAGCUAACGCAUUAAGUUCCCCGCCUGGGGAGUACGGCCGCAAGGCUAAAACUCAAAGGAAUUGACGGGGACCCGCACAAGCGGCGGAGCAUGCGGAUUAAUUCGAUGCAACGCGAAGAACCUUACCAAGGCUUGACAUAUACGAGAACGCUGCAGAAAUGUAGAACUCUUUGGACACUCGUAA